ACAAUUUGCUUCAGAUAUCAUGUUUACUGAACACUUGAGGUCAGUAGUUGAGAGCCUAAAUUCAAAAGUUCUUUAUUGCUCAAUCAAACGAACAUAGAACUGUCAUAAUUUUGAUACGCUUCAUAACAGCUUACAAUAGCGGGGUCGAAUUUUGCUUCAAUCAUGUAUGUGUGUUUGAGGAGUUUGGUAGGUGAACUAAAAAGAAAAAAA
rnacentral:misc_RNA from 1 species